AAUAUUGGUCAAUGGGCGCAAGCCUGAACCAGCCAUGCCGCGUGCAGGAGGACUGCCCUAUGGGUUGUAAACUGCUUUUAUACGGGAAUAAACCUGCCCUCGUGAGGGUAGCUGAAUGUACCGUAAGAAUAAGGAUCGGCUAACUCCGUGCCAGCAGCCGCGGUAAUACGGAGGAUCCGAGCGUUAUCCGGAUUUAUUGGGUUUAAAGGGUGCGUAGACGGCAUGCUAAGUCAGGGGUGAAAGACGGUGGCUCAACCAUCGCAGUGCCUUUGAUACUGGCGUGCUUGAAUGUACAUGAGGUAGGCGGAAUGUGGCAAGUAGCGGUGAAAUGCAUAGAUAUGCCACAGAACACCGAUUGCGAAGGCAGCUUACCAAGGUAUGAUUGACGCUGAUGCACGAAAGCGUGGGGAUCAAACAG
rnacentral:rRNA from 1 species